CUGGGCAAUUAUGGGACAAGGCGUGCACUCUUUCAAGUUGCAUUAGCUCUAAAACCCAACAUUAGCAUGGAUUUAGUCAACAAGUAGUACAACAUUACAAAUAGUUUCCGAGAUGUGAGAUUAUUCACUUGUUCUCUGUAAUAUAGUAUAGCUUUGGAAUCGUGACAUUACGCACUUUCGGUGGAAUAGGCAGGUUUCUCGACUCAUACCCUGACUUUGAGAAGGGACUGCGUGACGAUUAGUUUUGCAACCGCAUGACUCGGCAUGACAACAUGAACGCGAUUUUUCGGCAGUCUGCUGGGAAUCCACAGACAUCUGCACUCCCCAUUGAUAUACUCUGGAUUAAGGGAAGGAAAGGAGGAAAUUACUACUACUUUGGAGGCUGUCACCGGUUGGAGGCAAACAAAUGGUUGAAAAUGAAAAACAUUCCAGCAAAGAUCUUCAAAUCAAAUGUUGCAGACCUGCACACUUACUUGGGUGCCUCAACCCCAGACGCUACAGUGAAAUUUGAUUAAUUGAGGACUGUAGAGUCAUGUUAUACUCCAUGUGAAUCGGUGUUUUCAACUGUAUAUGUGCAGUGCAAGUACUGACAAGUAGGUGGAGAUGUAACUCUGUUUUAUAUCAUGUUGUUAUAUCAUGUAUUUCCCCUCCUGUAUCACAUUUGAUGCUGAAAGUUGGAGCAUUGUGUAAUAUUUCCAAAUGCAAAUAACCCCAAUUGCAUAUCACAAAUAUAAAUAAAGUAAGAUUCCUUAAAGCUGCAAUAUGUAACUUUUUUGUGCAACCUGACAAAAUGCAUAUAGAAAUGUGUGUUAAAGAUCUGCCAUUUUCAAUUAAAGCAAUUCUAAGAAGCAGUA